CUACACAUGCAGUCGAGCGGAGAUGAGGUGCUUGCACCUUAUCUUAGCGGCGGACGGGUGAGUAAUGCUUAGGAAUCUGCCUAUUAGUGGGGGACAACAUUUCGAAAGGAAUGCUAAUACCGCAUACGCCCUACGGGGGAAAGCAGGGGAUCUUCGGACCUUGCGCUAAUAGAUGAGCCUAAGUCGGAUUAGCUAGUUGGUGGGGUAAAGGCCUACCAAGGCGACGAUCUGUAGCGGGUCUGAGAGGAUGAUCCGCCACACUGGGACUGAGACACGGCCCAGACUCCUACGGGAGGCAGCAGUGGGGAAUAUUGGACAAUGGGGGGAACCCUGAUCCAGCCAUGCCGCGUGUGUGAAGAAGGCCUUUUGGUUGUAAAGCACUUUAAGCGAGGAGGAGGAGCUCUAGACUAAUACUCUAGAUGCUUGGACGUUACUCGCAGAAUAAGCACCGGCUAACUCUGUGCCAGCAGCCGCGGUAAUACAGAGGGUGCAAGCGUUAAUCGGAUUUACUGGGCGUAAAGCGUGCGUAGGUGGUCUUUUAAGUCGGAUGUGAAAUCCCUGAGCUUAACUUAGGAAUUGCAUUCGAUACUGGGAGACUAGAGUAUGGGAGAGGAUGGUAGAAUUCCAGGUGUAGCGGUGAAAUGCGUAGAGAUCUGGAGGAAUACCGAUGGCGAAGGCAGCCAUCUGGCCUAAUACUGACACUGAGGUACGAAAGCAUGGGGAGCAAACAGGAUUAGAUACCCUGGUAGUCCAUGCCGU
rnacentral:rRNA from 1 species